CAUGUCGCUCUCUUUCUCUUGUGUUGCGAAGGUGCUUACUUUUUGUUGCGCCCCGUCAUCCAACUAAGGAGGUGGCUUGGCGGAGGCGACGUGUUGUUAUGCCGCCCGACGCCAAUCGUGUGUGGACUGGCUGGCUUUUCUCCUUCUUCUUCUUCUCUUAAUCCUCGUCUUUACACGCCAUCCCACGUGUGUUGGCAGAGUGGAGGAGGAAGUGUGUGUGUUUGGAGGAAGAAGGUGCAGUGGGGGAAAUAUGGUGAGUGCUCGUGUCAGACGCAGGCGUGUUGGUCACGGCUCGCAUCAGC
rnacentral:rRNA from 1 species